GUACACGCUGUGACUAGCAUAUCAAUAAGCGGAGGAAAAGAAACUAACAAGGAUUCCCCUAGUAACGGCGAGUGAAGCGGGAAGAGCUCAAAUUUGAAAUCUUAAAGGGUUUCCCUUUACGAAUUGUAGUUUAAAGAAGUGUUUUCUGUUGAGGUUUUGGUAAAAGUUCUUUGGAAUAGGACAUCAUAGAGGGUGAGAAUCCCGUAUUUGACCUUUACUUUCAACUUUGUGAUACACUUUCAAAGAGUCGGAUUGUUUGGGAAUGCAGUCCAAAAUGGGUGGUAAAUUUCAUCUAAAGCUAAAUAUUGGCGAGAGACCGAUAGCGAACAAGUACCGUGAGGGAAAGAUGAAAAGAACUUUGAAAAGAGAGUUAAACAGUACGUGAAAUUGUCAAAAGGGAAGCGUUUGACACCAGUGUUGUUAUUCUGAAAAUCAAUUAAAGAACUGUUUAUGCUAAGCUGUUUAGACUUUAUCAGCUAUACUGUUUAGUUUUGAGCUUUUCUUUAAUGCACUUUUCAGUUAACAAGUCAACAUCAAUUUCUUUUGCUGUAAAAAAGCUUGAGGAAGGUGGCUUGAGAUUCGUCUUAAGUGUUUAUAGCCUCUUGCCUAUGCAGUCGGAGAGAUUGAGGUCUGCAGCGUAGAUCCUUCGGGGCUAAAUGCAUUUGUGCUAAGUUAUAACAUUUUAUAGACAACUUGUUGACUAUGAUUUGUCUUGUAGCUUACUCGCUUAUGUUAUUUUACCUACGCUUAGGAUGUUGACGCGCGUGUGUGCGUG
rnacentral:rRNA from 1 species